UUUAGGUCUCAGUGAGAUGGAUUAGAGGUGUGGAGUCCAGUUGUGAUAAGCUGCUUCUGAAAUGGCUCCCAAUGAUCAUUGCCUCUUGUUACUAUGUCCUAAGCUGUCCUGUCAAGAGGCAAGGAACUGAGUGCAGCCUCAGCCUAACGCCUAGUGAGAAACUGAAGCCUUCAGACCAACAACCUCAUGAGCAGGGCUGGCAGCAGAUCCUUCUCAGACGGAACCUUGAGAUGACUGCAGCCCAGAUGACAACUCGACUUUCACCUUGUGAGAGACCCUGAGCCAGGGGACCCAGCUAAGCUGUGCCCAGAUUCCUGACCCACAGAAUGGUGAGGACUCAGUUUUGGUGUAAUUUGUUAUCAAGUAGUAGAUAAGUAUCACACCAAUCACCAGCAGUAACAGUCCUAUUCCACUCCGUUCAGGUUGAGCCAAAUCCAUGUUAUUAUUUCCCCUUGUGGCCAUCAUUCCUGAAGAGGAUACUGGAACAAACCAGAAAGUACCCAAAGAAAGACUGUUAGUGGGGUGAGAGGUCUGGAAAAUACGUCAUAUGGAGAACAGGUGAACGAAUUAAGUGAAUUCUACUGAAAGACCCCCUUCCUCCUUGGUAAAGGCUUGUUUUAGCAACCUGAUGUCCCCACAGCACCCCCUCUCCCCUUGCUGAAGGCUUGAUUGUCCCCAUAGCCAGAUGGCAACACAUACCAGGAUGUCUAUUGUGUGUGAUCACCCGGUCUGUCAAGAGAAAAGACAAAUGAGGAAUAGAGUGUACCUGGGACUUUCCAGAGUGCUGAGCCAAGGCCCUCCAGAACAGACCGUUGUGUCCUUGCCUUAAACCCAGUGCCUGACAAUGCUUGAUUUAAGUUAACCAAUCAGAUCCCUGUAACCAAGCAUCUGCUUCUGUAAACUCGCUUCCCGCCACCCCAACCUUGCCCUAUAUAAUCUGCUCCCCAACUUAUCCCGGCACGCUCAGUCCACAAAGGCUAAUGCGUCCGCAGGCGCCUGUGUAACCAAUAAACCUCUUGCAGUUUGCAUCCAGUGGAGGCGUGCUGUUCGAUUCUUGGGUGCGGCUCCAGGGUCUUUCACUACCUGAAAAGUUUAUCUAUCAUGAUUUUUUUUUCACAUCUAAAAGAAAGAUGGUAUUUGAAAAGAAGCC
rnacentral:lncRNA from 1 species